UGAAGCGCCAUGCCUCCUCCUGCAGUGAGAAGUCCCAUCGUGCGGACCCACAGGUCAAAGUCAAGCGCCAUGCCUCCAGUGCCAAUCAAUACAAGUACGGCAAGAACCGGGCGGAGGAGGAUGCCCGAAGGUACCUGGUAGAAAAAGAGAGGCUGGAGAAAGAGAAGGAGACGAUUCGGACCGAACUGACGGCAUUGCGACAGGAGAAGAAAGAGCUGAAGGAAGCCAUUCGGAACAACCCAGGAGCAAAGUUGAAGGCCUUGGAAGAGGCCGUGGCCACUCUGGACGCUCAGUGUCGUGCCAAGGAAGAGCAGAGGAUCGACCUGGAGCUCAAGCUGGUAGCUGUGAAGGAACGACUGCAGCAGUCCCUGGCUGGGGGUCCGGCCCUCGGUCUGUCUGUGAGCAGCAAGAGCAAGAGCCAACAGGAAACUACAAACAAACCCCAAAGCAGUGUCCCAGAGCAAUCGCUCCCUGUCAACUGUGUUUCUGAGAUGAGAAAGAGGAGCCCAUCCAUUGUAACCUCCAACCAAGGCAGAGUGCUACAGAAGGCCAAGGAAUGGGAGAUGAAGAAGACCUAGAAAGGGUGAGAAUUCCUUCCGGAAGCAGUGUCAGCUUGUCCGUCCAAGGAGGAAAUACGUUCUUCGCAAAGACAUCGGGAAAAGGCUGGGGCACCCAAAAGACCAGCUUGACUGCUGCAUGAUUUUAGGGCCUGUGGGAAGGGAGAAGUGGAAGCAUCCUUCUGGCCUAGCAAAGGGUGGGAGAGUCUGGAGACAGAAGCAGCCACAGCUGUACAGGUCUUAUUAGGUAUCUUUGCCCUCCAGUACAGUGAAAGCACCUAAGCCAUUCCAUCCUCUCCUCGGCAUCCCAAUCCCAGUCCUUAAGGCAAAGGAAGCCCGUGUUGAAGUGCUGCUAGUGCUGUGAUAAAAACAAACAAACCCACUCCAUCACCUGAUCACACUUAGGCAGGCUGCACUCCUAUUGGGCAUUACAGACAACCUCUGGGCAGGGGUAAUGGACUGGAAAAUCUAUAUAUCCCUGCCUGCAAAGCAGGGAACAAAAGCUAUUGAGAAUGUAAAAACCCCACAGUUUUCUGUUUUAGAGCCAGACGACAGCCACUAGAACCUUCCAGGUUUGAGCAUUUUUAAAUCAGAUUAUCUGAGCAUUGAGAGGGUAAAGAGAGCUGAUCGCUGGUGCGUUUUAAGCACAGUGGCAGAGGGAUGGGGUUCCGAUGCCGACACUGUUGCACGCAUUGGAGGGUGGAGUCCGUUGCUGUCAGUCAAGUCCUUACCUAUUUAAUGUGACACUGAAGCUCCUGGGACUGUGGUUGGAAGACUAAGUCUCUGGCCAGAGGAAGUCGUCAUCUUGUACUAGGAGGCCCACAAGCCUGUUUCCUUAUCUGCUACAAAGUGAGACUGUUAAGGAAAACCAACAGGAUGGUGGCUCAUGUCUGCCACAAGGGUGCUAAGCCUUUUCCAAACACUUGAUAUUUUUUAUAGGACCUCAAGUCCUAGGCAACCUCUUUUCUACGCCACUCAUGACUGUCUCAACACUGGGCUUUUAGGUCUGUUUUUAACAUAUUCAUCUCCAAUAAAGAUGAAACUGUUCAACUCUGAGAGGUCAGAGGGUAAUCAGGAAGAGGGAAGUUGUGUGCCUCAGAAUAACCAGCUGAUGGGUUUGCUAGUCUUGAUAUGUUAGCCACCUAAGAUUUACCAUACUUCAGCUUCACUGAAACCUUACCAGCCUUUGAAGUAGCUGGAGACCAGAGCAGGAAAAUCACCUCAGCAGUCACCUCACGAGUAGGGCGUACACAUUAGGGGUCAUGGUCCUGGGUCCAGAUUGGGCUGUCUGCUGCUAACUGAGGAUAACCUCGGACGUCAUUCAGCCCCUCUGGUUUUCACUAUAAGAACACACUGUGAUCGUACUCUCACCCCAAGACUCCUGGCUGAUAUUUAAUGAACUAAUUCAGGGGAACAUCUUCUUUCUAUACUGCUGAAAGCUGGAAAUGCUUAAGUCACAAGUAGAUUUUAAUAUCAGCUAGAUGAGAAAGGUGUGACUCAAAAACCUUUGUUCUUUCUGUAAAGGAAAAAAAAAUUUAAAUUGUAACAGCUAUCAAAAGACAUCCAAACCAAAGGGAGGGUUUUCAUUCCAAAUCCGACCUCCAUAUCUUCAGUGACAAAGACUUGGGUUCCAGUGCUUUUUAAAAGAUGUAUAUUCUGCAGUGGGUGCCCAGCACUGUGCCUUAAGUACCCGUCACAUUCUUUCUUAGGAAUGCAGUUAUUUUAGGGUUAAAUGCCUUCUCCACAAGUAGAUCUUAAGCUCAAAGGAAGAGGGGCCCUACAUCAUUAAUCAUUAACAUGAGACCAUGGCACCUGCUCGGCAUAAGCAUGUAUCGCCUGAGGCCCAUGUUCAGAGCACACCUAGUGUUUGCCUUCUGGAAAAUGUUUCUCCUUAAUCAUGUUUGGACAAGAGGUUCUGCAUUUUACUCUCGUCUUUUAAAUAGUGCAGCCAGAAACCAGCAACAUGACUCAGGAUGUAGGGGGUGGGGGGCUUGCUGCCAACCCUGAGAACCUGAGCUUGAUCCUCUGAAUCCAUGAUGAAAGGUUGGACAGAACCCAUUCUCAUAAGCUGCCCUCUGACCUGCACACUGGCACUCAUACCGACCUCCACCUGUACCUAUCUACAUACACAAAAUAAACAUUAAAAAAAGUUUUAAAUAGUAGCCAGCCCUAGUAUUUACUGCCUGUACUUUUACACUAAGAUUCUGUGAGACCAAUUUUAAAAAAAUUUAUUUUUUAUAGUUCAAUGUGAUUUAAAACCCUUAUUUCUUAAACCCAAAUCUGUGGAUCUCCAGAAGCAGUUACACCUAAUACAUUUAUGAAUAAAAGCCAAAUUUAAAGUC
rnacentral:lncRNA from 1 species